rnacentral:rRNA from 1 species
GUGCCAGCAGCCGCGGUAAUACCGGCAGCCCGAGUGAUGGCCGAUAUUAUUGGGCCUAAAGCGUCCGUAGCUGGCCACGCAAGUCUAUCGGGAAAUCCGCGCGCUCAACGCGCGGGCGUCCGGUGGAAACUGUGUGGCUUGGGACCGGAAGAUCCAGAGGGUACGUCCGGGGUAGGAGUGAAAUCCCGUAAUCCUGGACGGACCACCGGUGGCGAAAGCGCUCUGGAAAGACGGAUCCGACGGUGAGGGACGAAAGCUCGGGUCACGAACCGGAUUAGAUACCUGGUAGUCC